UACGAAGGGGGCUAGCGUUGCUCGGAAUCACUGGGCGUAAAGCGCACGUAGGCGGCUUGUUAAGUCGGGGGUGAAAUCCUGGAGCUCAACUCCAGAACUGCCUUCGAUACUGGCGAUCUUGAGUCCGGGAGAGGUGAGUGGAACUCCGAGUGUAGAGGUGAAAUUCGUAGAUAUUCGGAAGAACACCAGUGGCGAAGGCGGCUCACUGGCCCGGUACUGACGCUGAGGUGCGAAAGCGUGGGGAGCAAACAGG
rnacentral:rRNA from 1 species